CAUUUACUAACUAUAUUUAGUAUAGGGCGAUAGAAAAUUUAAUUUAGCGCUAUAGAAAUAGUACCGUAAGGGAAUGAUGAAAGAUAAACUUAAGUAUAAAAAAGCAAAGAUUCAACCUUAUACCUUUUGCAUAAUGAGCUAACUAGAAAACACCUGACAAAGAGAACUUAAGCCAGAGACCCCGAAAUCAGACGAGCUACCUUAGAACAGCCUACCACAGGGCCAACUCAUCUAUGUGGCAAAAUAGUGAGAAGAUUUUAAGGUAGAGGUGAAAAGCCUAACGAGCUUGAUGAUAGCUGGUUGUCCAAGAAAGAAUCUUAGUUCACCUUAAAACUUACCUGCAUUUCCAAAAUAAAAUUACUGUAAGUUUUAAAGCUAACCUAAAGAGGUACAGCUCUUUAGAUAGAGGAUACAACCUAAAGUAAAGAGUAAUUGAUACAAUAUUCAUAGUAGGCCUAAAAGCAGCCAUCAAUUAAGAAAGCGUUAAAGCUCAACACUAUUAUAUAAUUUAUUCCAAUAAUAUAUUACAUCUCCUACAAAAUAACUGGACCAAUCUAAUUAAUAUUAGAUGAAAUACUGUUAGUAUAAGUAAUAAGAAAAAUUUUCUCCUAGCACAAGUGUAUAACAGAACGAAUAAAUCGCUGAUAGUUAACAAUCAUACAUUUCCACCUAAACUACUAGAACCAAUGUUACUAAUUUAUUGUUAGCCCAACACAGGAGUGCAAACUAGGAAAGAUUAAUAAAUGUAAAAGGAACUCGGCAAACUUAAACCCCGCCUGUUUACCAAAAACAUCACCUCUAGCAUUACCAGUAUUAGAGGCACCGCCUGCCCAGUGACGCAAGUUAAACGGCCGCGGUAUCCUGACCGUGCAAAGGUAGCAUAAUAAUUUGUUCCUUAAUUAGGGACUUGUAUGAAUGGCAUCACGAGGGUUUAACUGUCUCUUACAUUCGAUCAAUGAAAUUGACCUUUCCGUGAAGAGGCGGAAAUAACACAAUAAGACGAGAAGACCCUAUGGAGCUUAAAUUAAUAUUCCAACUUAAACAACUUCAAAUCUAAUCGAUGUAAAAUCUGCAACCACUGGAAUAAACAUUUUGGUUGGGGUGACCUCGGAGCAUAAAAAAACCUCCGAAGGACUAACAUUAAGACCAACUAGUCCAAAUUAUAAAUGUCCAAAUAUUGACCCAGAAAUAAUUCUGAUCAAUGAACCAAGUUACCCUAGGGAUAACAGCGCAAUCUUGUUAAAGAGUUCAUAUCGACAAUAAGGUUUACGACCUCGAUGUUGGAUCAGGACAUCCCAAUGGUGCAGCAGCUAUUAAAGGUUCGUUUGUUCAACGAUUAAAGUCCUACGUGAUCUGAGUUCAGACCGGAGCAAUCCAGGUCGGUUUCUAUCUAUUUACCUAUUUCUCCUAGUACGAAAGGACCAGAGAAAUGAGGCCAACUUUACAAAAGCGCCUUAAUACUUAAUAAAUGAUAUUAUAUCAACUUACAAAGUAACUUAACUCACUCAAUUACAUCCCGACAUUAGGGAUUGUUAAGAUGGCAGAGCCAGGUAAUUGCA
rfam:Dipodomys ordii ctg_broad_rename0014835, whole genome shotgun sequence.